GAUGAACGCUGGCGGCGUGCUUAACACGUGCAAGUCUAACGGAAAGGCCCAAGCUUGCUUGGGUACUCGAGUGGCGAACGGGUGAGUAACACGUGGGUGAUCUGCCCUGCACUUCGGGAUAAGCCUGGGAAACUGGGUCUAAUACCGGAUAGGACGAUGGGUUGGAUGCCAUUGUGGAAAGUUUUUUCGGUGUGGGAUGAGCUCGCGGCCUAUCAGCUUGUUGGUGGGGUAAUGGCCUACCAAGGCGUCGACGGGUAGCCGGCCUGAGAGGGUGUACGGCCACAUUGGGACUGAGAUACGGCCCAGACUCCUACGGGAGGCAGCAGUGGGGAAUAUUGCACAAUGGGCGCAAGCCUGAUGCAGCGACGCCGCGUGGGGGAUGACGGCCUUCGGGUUGUAAACUCCUUUCGCUAGGGACGAAGCGUUUUUGUGACGGUACCUGGAGAAGAAGCACCGGCUAACUACGUG
rnacentral:rRNA from 1 species